AGAGUUUGAUCCUGGCUCAGGACGAACGCUGGCGGCGUGCUUAACACAUGCAAGUCGAACGGUAAGGCCCUUCGGGGUACACGAGUGGCGAACGGGUGAGUAACACGUGGGUAAUCUGCCCUGCACAUCGGGAUAAGCCUGGGAAACUGGGUCUAAUACCGAAUAGGACCACAGAACACAUGUCCUGUGGUGGAAAGCUUUUGCGGUGUGGGAUGGGCCCGCGGCCUAUCAGCUUGUUGGUGGGGUGAUGGCCUACCAAGGCGACGACGGGUAGCCGGCCUGAGAGGGUGUCCGGCCACACUGGGACUGAGAUACGGCCCAGACUCCUACGGGAGGCAGCAG
rnacentral:rRNA from 1 species